rnacentral:rRNA from 2 species
GAUGGGAGCUUGCUCCCUGAUGUUAGCGGCGGACGGGUGAGUAACACGUGGGUAACCUGCCUGUAAGACUGGGAUAACUCCGGGAAACCGGGGCUAAUACCGGAUGGUUGUCUGAACCGCAUGGUUCAGACAUAAAAGGUGGCUUCGGCUACCACUUACAGAUGGACCCGCGGCGCAUUAGCUAGUUGGUGAGGUAACGGCUCACCAAGGCGACGAUGCGUAGCCGACCUGAGAGGGUGAUCGGCCACACUGGGACUGAGACACGGCCCAGACUCCUACGGGAGGCAGCAGUAGGGAAUCUUCCNNNNUGGACGAAAGUCUGACGGAGCAACGCCGCGUGAGUGAUGAAGGUUUUCGGAUCGUAAAGCUCUGUUGUUAGGGAAGAACAAGUGCCGUUCAAAUAGGGCGGCACCUUGACGGUACCUAACCAGAAAGCCACGGCUAACUA